CUAUGAACCUCAAAUCUGGAACAAACUUCCUGAAAACUGCAAAACAGUCGAAACACUGAGUUCCUUUAAAUGUAGACUAAAAACCUAUUUGUUCGUGUUUGUGGCCAGAGAGGCACGCGAGUGGGCACGUCAUGUGUGAGUGGCGCCUAGACGAAAAACCGCAUAUCAGAAACUGAACUCAUCAAAAUGCCCAAAAAUGCCAUAGUUUUUCUACAUCUGUCUACUUGAGGGUGCUUAUUGGAAUCUUGCUUCUGAUUUGUUCAGUAUUGUAUUCUCUGUCAUUCAUUUUCUUCUUUUUUAUAUCUGCAAAAGUUAUCCAGCAAACUUUUUCACUUCUCUGGUCUAGUAAGUUGUUCUGCUUCUCUCAGACUCAGGCUCAAGUGGUUUCCCUCUUUAUUCAGCCUUCAUAUUCUGUUCCUUAAUUACUGAUCAACAUGUUUGAAACAUUUCAUAAAAAUAAAAUGUAUCACAUAUUAAAUAAUUUUAAAUAAUAAAAAUAACAAUUUGAAUCACAAAUUGUUAUUUUAAAAAUCACAUUAUGCUUUAGUUAAUCUUUGUUCAUUAUUGAAUAUACGAGUAGGCUAAAUCUAAAAACAUUUAAAUGUUAAAAAUCAAGUCCUUGAAUUCUAAAACUGCACUUUAAUAGGGCAACAUUUCAGAAAAUCCAUUCAUAUAUUAUAUAGAAUCACUACAUAUAGUGAUAUAUUCCAUGCCUUUCUUGUAAUUUUGAUGUUUAUGGCUUAAAGAGAAUGAAGUCAUAAAAAAAAAGAUUACAAUACUGUGAAAAAUGUUAUUAUUGAAAACUUAAAACCCCUGCAAAGGUUUCCUGAGCCUUUUAACCAGUGGUUAAAGUCCAGCAGCCUUAAGAGGAUUGUCAAGUGAAAUCCGUUCCAGAAGAGCCACCACUGACAGAUGAAUGUGAAACAUGGACUAAAGAUUUCACUUUCCCCAUGUAAAGCCACUCCUGAACCAGAGACAGAGUCAUAGGUAUUUUAUGUGACCUGAGGAGAAAAGGAAAUGAACAGCUGCAGUUAGGGGCCGUUAUCAAAGCAAUCCGCCCCCCCCCUCCACACACACAAGAUGCUACCCUGGGCAGUUGCCCAUAUCCCCCAUAUCAGAAACCACCACUGUACAUACUGUAGUUCUGACUGUAACUGUAUCAGCAGACAGACUCAAAGGGAGGAGUCUGGAACCAGACUAUAAAACAGCAUCAACAUAAAAAGUUAAACCAUUUUCUACCAGGAAAGAAACCAAGAGCCACAGAUCAUCACAGAUCAACUUCCUGCCAGAAGACAGUCAAGAUGUCCAACUAUCAAAAACUCGCUGGAAAGGAGCCAGACCUCAGGAUUGUUCUUGUUGGGAAAAUUGGAGUUGGUAAAAGUGCAGCAGGAAACACCAUUUUAGGGAGGGAAGCUUUUGAGUCUAAACUCUGUCUUUCCUCUGUGACAUCAGAGUGUAAGAAGGAAACUACUAGUUUUGCUGGUCUAAAUCUGGCUGUUAUUGAUACUCCAGGUCUGUUUGAUACAGAUAAGAGUAAUAAAGAGGUUAUGACAGAGAUCACUAAAUCCAUCAGCAUGGCGGCUCCUGGUCCUCAUGUCUUCCUGAUUGUUCUCCAACCAACCAGAUUCACAGCAGAAGAAGAAAAAACUGUGAAAAUAAUUCAGACAAUGUUUGGAGAAGAUGCUGCCAAAUACACCAUGAUCCUGUUUACCCAGGGAGACGAGCUUAAAAGGGCAAACAUUAAAAUAGAAAACCUGUUAGAAAAAUCCCAAC